rnacentral:rRNA from 1 species
UACCAGCUCUCCGAGUGGUGUGGAUGUUUAUUGGGCCUAAAGCAUCCGUAGCUGGCUGGGCAAGUCCCCUGUUAAAUCCACCGAUUUAAUCGUUGGUGUGCGGGGGAUACUGUUCGGCUAGGGGACGGGAGAGGUCGACGGUAUUUUCGGGGUAGGGGUGAAAUUCUAUAAUCCCGGGAAGACCACCAGUGGCGAAGGCUGUCGGCUAGAACGCGCCCGACGGUGAGGGAUGAAAGCUGGGGGAGCGAACCGGAUUAGAUACCCGGGUAGUCCCAGCUGUAAACGAUGCAGGCUAGGUGUUUGGGCGGCCACGUGCCGCUCUAGUGCCGCAGAGAAGUUGUUAAAGCCCACGCCUGGGAAGUACGGUCGCAAGGCUGAAACUUAAAGGAAUUGGCGGGGAGCACCACAAGGCGUGAAGCUUGCGGUUC